AAAGCGAAACCGCGAGGAGGAGCAAAACCCAAAAAAGACAGUCUCAGUUCGGAUUGAAGGCUGAAAUUCGCCUUCAUGAAGCCGGAAUUGCUAGUAAUGGCAGGUCAGCAUACUGCCGUGAAUACGUUCCCGGGCCUUGUACACACCGCCCGUCACACCAUGAGAGUUGGGAAUACCCGAAGCCUGUGAGCUAACUGUAAAGAGGCAGCAGUCGAAGGUAGAAUCAAUGAUUGGGGUGAAGUCGUAACAAGGUAUC
rnacentral:rRNA from 1 species